GCCAGGUGUAAAAGAUGCCUAGUCUUACCUGAAAAGAAGCGUUUUUAAUCUUUGGGUCUCCCACACAAAUCUCAGUAGCCCGAUCAUAAUGCUUUGGAAAGAGAUCCUCACACUUGUCGUCCUUUUGUGCUACCAUCUCCACUUCCUGCAGUGUGCUUGGAAAUCUUCCCUCUGGGGACAAUUGUCCAUCUGCACUAUCAUCUCCACUUCCUGCAGUGUGCUUGGAAAUCUUCCCUCUGGGGCCAAUUGUCCCCAUCCAGCCACCUGGCACCUGGUACCUGGCUUCACCUGGGUCAUCCCCUUGGGCAGCUUGAGGAGCUGCACAGCUUUAGUCAGCUUGGCCUUUUUCUCCAGCUGGUGGAAAAUAAGUAAGGAAGUCCAGUUCAGUGUAUGCUCCUGGGUAUGCACAGUGUGAUGGACAUGAUGGCAAAGAGGGCAGGGGCAGGGUGCCUGUGGGAGUGGCAACCAUUCUUGAGGAGAGCAAGAGUGACAAGGACAUGUGCCUUACCUUCAACAGCAUGAUCUCGUUGAUGCGUUUUUCCCAAUUAAAGUCUGGGUGGAGAAAUGCCUUUUGUACACGGAAGACUUGCUGGGUGUCCUCUUGUUCCUUGAUGUUGUGGGCCCCCAAGGUGACCUCUAUUUGGCGGUACACAGAGCCAAGUGGACUGGUGGAUGUGGAGCUAAAAAAGAUACAACCCAAGAUCUGUAAAAGCAGGCCACAGCUGAUAAAGUGUAUAGCUGUAGAU
rnacentral:lncRNA from 1 species